UUUUUAAAAAGCGUCAUGCCCUAGUCUGAUGCAGCCCCCGCACCAGGCCCUAUAUGGGAGCAAGGUGAGCAAGGGCUCAGGGGAAGCCACUCCCCUCCCCUUGGUCUGCUACAAAUUGCCCAGGUCCUGCCCUCAGACUCCUAGCAGUUGAAAAUUGUUGAACUUGGUUGCUCCAACGAGCUUCUUCCAGAUCUUCAGUGUAAUAGACACAGCCAAUCUGGAUUGAGGACUGGAGUCUACACCGCCGUGAACCACUGGAGUUGUCAGAUGAAGGUGGCAGAAUGGAGAGAAGUAUCAGGCAUAAGCUACAGUCAUAUAAACCUUGAUACAGAUGUGAAUUGAGAUGGGAUUUUUCUGUGUUUUCCAGACUGGUCUCAAACUCCUGGCCUCAAGUGAUCCUACCACCUCAACCUUCCAAAGUGCUGGGAUUAUAGGUGCUGGGAGUAGAAGAAUGAAGAAAUAAG
rnacentral:lncRNA from 1 species